rnacentral:rRNA from 2 species
UGGGGAAUAUUGGGCAAUGGGCGCAAGCCUGACCCAGCAACGCCGCGUGAAGGAAGAAGGCUUUCGGGUUGUAAACUUCUUUUAUCAGGGACGAAGGAUGUGACGGUACCUGAUGAAUAAGCCACGGCUAACUACGUGCCAGCAGCCGCGGUAAUACGUAGGUGGCAAGCGUUGUCCGGAUUUACUGGGUGUAAAGGGCGUGUAGGCGGGUCUGCAAGUCAGAUGUGAAAACUAUGGGCUUAACCCAUAGCCUGCAUUUGAAACUGUAGGUCUUGAGUACUGGAGAGGCAGGCGGAAUUCCUCGUGUAGCGGUGAAAUGCGUAGAUAUGAGGAGGAACACCAGUGGCGAAGGCGGCCUGCUGGACAGCAACUGACGCUGAGGCGCGAAAGCGUGGGGAGCAAACAGG